rnacentral:lncRNA from 1 species
AAGAAUGGAGCGCUCGAACGGAGAAUUUAGCAGAGUUUUUGAGAUAAGAAAAUGAGCUUCAAGAAUAACGUAUCUGGGUUCUCCUUUUUAUAGGCGGAGGAGGUAACGGAUUGUUGGCGAUGUUUGUAACCGCCUGGUAGUGGGCUGCCCAGGGUCAGGCGGAAUUUGCUACGAAGAGUGGCGGAGUAGACCCGUGGCCAUCACUGGGGCGUGCCACGUGGAAUCUGCCGUGGGAAGUGGGGCGGUGUUUGCUGUCGCAUCUUGCCAGCGGAUGGGAGAAUCGUGUGGUAUCCGUUGC